AUUGAACGCUGGCGGCAGGCCUAACACAUGCAAGUCGAGCGGAGCGGCGGACGGGUGAGUAAGGAAUAGGAAUCUGCCUGGUAGUGGGGGGUAACGUCCGGAAACGGGCGCUAAGACAGCAUACUAUCAGAUGAGCCUAGGGCGGAUUGGCUGGUGGGUGGGGUAAAGGCCUACCAAGGCGACGAUCAGUGACUGGUCUGAGAGGUGGAUCAGUCACACUGGAACUGAGACACGGUCCAACCUCCUAGGGGGGGCGCAGGUGGGAAACUUUGGAAAAGGGGCGAAAGCCGAACCCAGACAGGCGGCUGGGUGGAGAAAGUUCUUCGGACGGUAAAGCACGUUAAUUUGGGAGGCGGUACCUACCGAAUAAGCACCGGCUAACUUCGUGCCAGCAGCCGCGGUAAUAC
rnacentral:rRNA from 1 species